UGCGUAGGCGGAAGAUUAAGUCAGUGGUGAAAUCCUGCAGCUUAACUGUAGAACUGUCAUUGAUACUGGUUUUCUUGAAUAUAGUUGAGGUAGGCGGAAUGUGUAAUGUAGCGGUGAAAUGCUUAGAUAUUACACAGAACACCGAUUGCGAAGGCAGCUUACUAAGCUAUGAUUGACGCUGAGGUACGAAAGCGUGGGGAGCGAACAGGAUUAGAUACCCUGGUAGUCC
rnacentral:rRNA from 1 species